CCUACGGGUGGCAGCAGUGGGGAAUAUUGCACAAUGGGCGAAACCCUGAUCCAGCGACGCCGCGUGAGUGAUGAAGGAUUUCGGUUCGUAAAGCUCUGUCAGCAGGGAAGAAAAUGACGGUACCUGACUAGGAAGCCCCGGCUAACUACGUGCCAGCAGCCGCGGUAAUACGUAGGGGGCAAGCGUUAUCCGGAAUUACUGGGGGUAAAGGGUGCGUAGGUGGGUGCGCAAGUCCGGAGGGAAAGGCCGGGGCUCAACCCCGGAAAGGCUUUGGAAACUGGGAAACUGGAGUGCAGGAGAGGAAAGUGGAAUACCUGGUGUAGCGGUGAAAUGCGUAGAUAUCAGGAGGAACACCAGCGGCGAAGGCGGCUGACUGGACUGUAACUGACGCUGAGGCACGAAGGCGUGGGGAGCAAACAGGAUUAGAUACCCGAGUAGUC
rnacentral:rRNA from 1 species